rnacentral:lncRNA from 1 species
UAUAUAUAUAUAUAUAUAUAUAUAUAUAUAUAUAUAUAUAUAUAUAUAUAUAUAUAUAUAUAUAUAUAUAUAUAUAUAUAUACAUACAUACAUAUAUAUAUUUACAUACAUGGUGCUUCCGUCCAUUAUCUUCCCCAUGCCAACCCUUUCUUCUUCACAUAGCACAAUAGUGGUGCAGGAUGGCCUUAAUUCCCUCAACAAUCUACCCAUGCUGCAAUGGAAAAGAAAGAAAAAAAGGGAGAAGCAUAGAAAAGAAACUUCCUUAUUAGCAGUGCUAUCU